rnacentral:rRNA from 1 species
UACAGAGGUGGCAAGCGUUGUUCGGAUUUAUUGGGCGUAAAGGGUCCGUAGGCGGCUUGGAAAGUCUGAUGUGAAAUCCUACAGCUUAACUGUAGAACGGCAUUAGAAACUCCCAAGCUAGAGUGUGAGAGGGGUAAAGGGAAUUCCCGGUGUAAGGGUGAAAUCUGCAGAGAUCGGGAGGAAUACCAGUCGCGAAGGCGCUUUACUGGCUCACUACUGACGCUCAGGGACGAAAGCUAGGGGAGCAAACGGGAUUAGAAC